rnacentral:rRNA from 1 species
UACGUAGGAGGCAAGCGUUGUCCGGAAUUACUGGGCGUAAAGAGCUCGUAGGCGGUGUGUCGCGUCGGCCGUGAAAACCUGUGGCUUAACUAUGGGCUUGCGGUCGAUACGGGCAUCACUGGAGUUCGGCAGGGGAGACUGGAAUUCCUGGUGUAGCGGUGAAAUGCGCAGAUAUCAGGAGGAACACCGGUGGCGAAGGCGGGUCUCUGGGCCGAUACUGACGCUGAGGAGCGAAAGCGUGGGGAGCGAACAGG